rnacentral:rRNA from 1 species
GUAAGGAAUAUUGCCCAAUGGGCGAAAGCCUGAGGCAGCAACGCCGCGUGCCCGAAGAAGGCCUUCGGGUUGUAAAGGGCUUUUCUGGCUGAAGAGGAAGGACAGUAAGCCAGGAAGAAGAGACGGCUAACUACGUGCCAGCAGCCGCGGUAAAACGUAGGUCUCAAGCGUUAUCCGGAUUUACUGGGCGUAAAGCGCGGGCAGGCGGACAGGCAAGUCUGGCGUGAAAGCUCCUGGCUAAACUGGGAGAGGUCGUCAGGAACUGCCUGACUGGAGAGCAGCAGAGGGGCGUGGAAUUCCGGGUGGAGUGGUGAAAUGCGUAGAGAUCCGGAGGAACACCAGAGGCGAAGGCGACGCCCUGGGCUGUAUCUGACGCUGAGCCGCGAGAGCCAGGGGAGCGAACGGGAUUAGAAACCCCUGUAGUCC